UAAGCACUGGCUUGAAGGUAUGGAAACUUCGUAACAAAACAGACUUUACACUGUACUGAUUUGAGUUUGCAUGUGUCGAGAAAUUAUUCUUCCAAACUUUAUGUACCUCUGCAGCCUCACAAGACUCACAACAGUUUCGCGCAUAUUGUCUUGCGAGGUCGAGUGCUGGUUCGAAAAAUAAUAUUAUACUCUCUGGAAUCCGAGUUCGCAUAGGAUCGACGAAAUAACCAUCGAGGAGAGAUCCAUGGAGGAAAUCUCAAGUCCCCAUUGAGCCGUUUCGGUUAUGAUCCGCCUAAUUGUAUUCCAUCCUAUCGGCUCUCCAAAUGGAAAUACUCGUAUGUGAACAGGUAAAGCCUCGGAAAAAAUGCGGAGCAAUAUGUUUCCAUGUAGGCAUAUUCUAACAGCACAUAAUCGGAGGAAUGACAAGCGUACGGACGAACUUACCACCAGUCCUUGUAGCAACGAGAAACCGUUAGCCCCAUAAUAUUGGGAUGUUACGGUGGCAGAUGCCGCGCGCAAAAUCAGGUGGGCCAGACAUCACGUGCUUCAGGAAUGCCGUUAUGGACUUGCGAACUGAUACGUGGUGCCUCGCAUUUGUCCUCAUCCCAGCAGAAGUCGCAUCGAUACAGUCGGGCAUCAGUGCCGUCCAUCAGCGCCACCAUACAUUGUCCUAUAGUGGCAGAAAAAUCGAAAAUUUACAAGUAUAUUUUCCUCAACAGAAUUUUUGACAAAGAUGGUAACACGAAGCCGAUUAUCGUGUCAUUGUUAAGUACACUCUUAAUUUACUGGUGCGUGCUGAUGCGACAUAAUUCCAUGAGAUGUGUAUCUGUUUUAGCACGUCAAUGGCACAUCGAAACAUGAUUGUUACAUUAGUGCAAAGAAAUCCAGAACCUCCACGCAAAAUUCAAUCUAAUAACGGACAACGUGAAGAUGGAUGGUCAGAGGUGAAGGAAGGCCAACGUUGGGAAAACCAGCCGAACCUCGGGGACGUUGAUUUCUGACAACCGGAAUGCAGAGAAUCGGUGCAUCCCGACUGAUCGGUAAUCAAGUAACCGAGCAUCACCCUGCAGAAUCGGAGCGGCGGACUACACGACAGCUGAUAAAUACCAAAGAACAGCUACACUGUUUAUAGCAGGAAGAUGGCGUAAUGUUACCUUUCUGUCUGAUAUAAGCAUUGCGGCUUUGCCAUUUCGACGGAAAUUAGGAUGAGGAGGAACCUUUGGCAAUGAAGAGUCCUGGGAAUGCUUCAAGGCAAUUCGGAGAGUUUCAAAGAACGGGCACAAGAGGGAUUACGCAGGCAAGUGAAUGUCAUUAACUACUUCUCCCAUCAAAUGCCUUCCUGUGUGAACCGGGUCAUACUGGAGCGGAUGUUUACCGAGACAACUCGAAAGCGGAGUUUGUUUAUCCUUCGUAUGUCCAAGACAUCAAAGGAUAAUCUGACAAUUAUUUGCCCGAUUAUUAUGUGUGAUGCCAACUAGGAACGAAAUGGAUGCUGGGGCAUAUUUUCUUUGGAAUUUCGUCCAUUUCGAUGUGUGUGUACAUCCUGUACUGCAGGAUAUAGCGGUGACUGAUGCCACUGCUACAACAGCGUUGGCCACUCUUAUGGAAGAGAACGUUCUUAAUGCCGCCUGCUACUGCUGUUCAGUACAAAGACAGUUCGAGGUGGAUUCAUGGUCCGCAUAAUUACCGCCUGGUGGCUCGCUCACAAGCGCGCAAAUUAUAAGCUGACGCUGGAUUACGUGAUUCUAUAAGUCCCAAGACGAAUUCUCCACGACCAGACAUCUUUCGUCGAAAUGUCACGAAGGUGAACCGUCUCAAAGCAAGAUGUGCCAGACUGAAGUGUCCCAGCGUCCGUACGCCGCGGCAAAAUGUCUUCGCGGCGAAAAGUGGCACGUUAAAUCUGAGUGCGGAGCAAUGUCCUACUGCCAGUUGUCCUUGUUCAUCACGAUGUGCCCGGAACCGACAGUUCUUUCCGGCAGACAUACAGUAGUACGACAGAUCAGCCUUUACCACCGACAAGGCAGUGCAGAAUGUUAUUGGAGAUUCUUUGCGUGGAGCGAUAGGGGUCGCACUGCAUAAUGGAGGUGGCGUUGGGUGGGGCGAAGUGGUAAGCGAUUGAUUUGGAGCUUGUCUUGGAUGGAGUAGAAUUGGGGGAGAAACAAGCCCGGACCGUACCACACUGGGACGUAAUGGCAAGACAUCGUUCGUGGGCUGGAAAUGCGAAUGCGCAGGACACUACAAAUAUGGCGUGUCAGGCGAGAUAUGCGACAAAAUCCGAUACUACCAGUACCAGUAACCUUUCCGGCACCCCUUAGUGACGAUGUCAGGAUGAAGUUGGAAUGGCGAAAGAGCUGGAUUCCGUAAGCCGGCGAAUGUCCUGCCUGGACUCGGACAGAUUAUUACUGUAUUAGUAUUCCGGGUUUGUUUUCGAUAACACUGCGCCCUUUUUUUGCCAUGAAUAACCUGACCGGUGAGCAUACACCGGUGUUAAUUCAGACAGUGUAGUUCCUUUACUCAACGUGAUGGGCCAUGGAUGAGUUUCUGGCACUAAAGCGUUAAUCAGAGCCACUUUCUCAGGCUCACGCUGGAUACAUGCUUGAUAACUAGCCGGGAAUAAUACGAAAUUUGAAAGAGCUACUAAAAAUGAAAUGCUCCCAGUUGGCCCUGAGAUCUGCACCGU